AGGCUAAUGUGUUGGGACCAGACUUGGUACAAGAUUCUAUGGACAAGGUCCAGUUAAUAAGACAGAGAUUACUCACAACUCAAAGCAGACAAAAAUCUUAUGCGGAUAAGAGAGAAGAGAUCUAGUGUUCAAGUUGGGGACAAAGUUUUUCUACGAGUUUCUCCUUUGAAAGGGGUGAUGCAUUUCGGAAAAAGUGGAAAAUUGAGCCCACGGUAUAUAGGACCAUAUGAGAUACUUGAUCGGGUAGGAGGAGUGGCGUAUCAUUUGGCACUUCCUCCUGAUAUGUCUUUCAUCCAUCUAGUGUUUCAUGUCUCAUUAUUAAGGAAAUAUAUAGCGGACUCCUCUCAAAUUCUUGAAGCACGACUAUAUAUAUUAACAAAAAUUUAACGUAUUAAGAGGAUCCAGUGACUAUUGUCGACAGACAAGUGAGAAAGUUACGGUUAAAAGAAAUUAUGUCUAUAAAGGUCUUAUGGAGAAAUCAUACCAUUCAAGAAGCUACAUGGGAGUCGGAGGAUGACAUGCGAGUCAAGUAUCUCCACUUGUUUCAGUCUACAGAUUGACUGGAGAAAAUCGUACGGGUUACUCGAGUGACGAGCUUGGUACUUCAGCAUAAGUACAAGAAUUUAGGUGGCAUUGGUGAGGAUUCCAUCAACUAGAGAGCGCGAACUAAUAGUAUAUGGUGAGUCUCGGAUUGCUUCGCGUGGCAAGAAGUUAUUUGGUCGUUUUGGUUCCUUUUAUUUUAAAAACUCUUAGAGUCGCUCCAUUUGUCCUUUCUCUAGUAAAGUCAUGAUUAUUCAUUCUUAUUACAGUCAUGUGAAUAGUGUUAAACUUAUUUUUCAUAUUUAGAGAUGAAUUGGUAUUACUGCGUAGCGGUUGGUUUAUUGAUGGAUAUGGUGCCUUGUUUUAGUGUUAUUAUUAGUUGUGGUUGAUUUCUGAGACAGGAAAAAUUCAAGAUAGGCCCAAAAAUAGAGAAAAUUCUGUCCAAUUUUGUGUAGAAUUUUGGUAAGGGUUGCUUGGGGAUUCUCCCCCUUAGCGCCAGUCAUGAUCCUAAAUUGGGUUGUGACAUUCUUAUUCUAUUAAUAGUCUUUACUUUAAGUUCUUGCAUAAUAUAGCUUGUUAAAUAAAAUAUGGAAAGCA